GAUUAAAUUAUGUGCAUGAUGAAAAUGUUGUUGUUACACCUAUGAAAUUUGAUUGAAUUGUGGGAAUGAUGAAAACAUUGUUUUUAAACCUAUGAAAUUUGAUUGAAUUGUGGAAAUGACGAAAUGUUGAUGUGAAACCCAUGAAAUUUGAUUGAAUUGUGUGAAUAAUGAAAAUGUUGAUGUUAAAACCAAGAAAUUUGAUUGAAUUGUGGGGAUGAUGAAAAUG
rnacentral:lncRNA from 1 species